rnacentral:rRNA from 1 species
CCUACGGGACGCAGCAGUGGGGAAUAUUGGACAAUGGGGGGAACCCUGAUCCAGCCAUGCCGCGUGUGUGAAGAAGGCCCUCGGGUUGUAAAGCACUUUCAGUGCGGAAGAACGCCUGGUGGUUAAUACCCAUCAGGAAAGACAUCACUCACAGAAGAAGCACCGGCUAACUCCGUGCCAGCAGCCGCGGUAAUACGGAGGGUGCGAGCGUUAAUCGGAAUUACUGGGCGUAAAGCGCGCGUAGGUGGCUUGAUAAGCCGGUUGUGAAAGCCCCGGGCUCAACCUGGGAACGGCAUCCGGAACUGUCCAGCUAGAGUGCAGGAGAGGAAGGUAGAAUUCCCGGUGUAGCGGUGAAAUGCGUAGAGAGCGGGAGGAAUACCAGUGGCGGAGGCGGCCUUCUGGACUGACACUGACACUGAGGUGCGAAAGCGUGGGUAGCAAACAGGAUUGGAUACCCGGGUAGUC